CCUACGGGAGGCAGCAGUGGGGGAUAUUGCACAAUGGGGGGAACCCUGAUGCAGCGACGCCGCGUGGGUGAAGGAGUGCUUCGGCAUGUAAAGCCCUAUCGGCAGGGAAGAAGCAAGACGGUACCUGACUAAGAAGCCCCGGCUAACUACGGGCCAGCAGCCGCGGUAAUAGGUAGGGGGCGGGCGUUAUCCGGAUUCACGGGGUGAAAAGGGGGCGUAGACGGCCAUGCAAGCCAGGGGUGAAAGCCCGGGGCCCAACCCCGGGCCUGCCCUUGGAACUGCAUGGCUGGAGUGCGGGAGGGGCAGGCGGAAUUCCUGGUGUAGCGGUGAAAUGCGUAGAUAUCAGGAGGAACACCGGCGGCGAAGGCGGCCUGCUGGACCGCGACUGACGUUGAGGCUCGAAAGCGUGGGGAGCAAACAGGAUUAGAUACCCUUGUAGUC
rnacentral:rRNA from 1 species